AGUGAACGCUGGCGGUAGGCCUAACACAUGCAAGUCGAACGGCAGCACAGGAGAGCUUGCUCUCUGGGUGGCGAGUGGCGGACGGGUGAGGAAUACAUCGGAAUCUACUCUGUCGUGGGGGAUAACGUAGGGAAACUUACGCUAAUACCGCAUACGACCUACGGGUGAAAGCAGGGGACCUUCGGGCCUUGCGCGAUUGAAUGAGCCGAUGUCGGAUUAGCUAGUUGGCGGGGUAAAGGCCCACCAAGGCGACGAUCGGUAGCUGGUCGGCGAGGAUGAUCAGCCAAACUGGAACUGAGGCACGGUCCAGACUCCUACGGGAGGCAGCAGUGGGGAAUAUUGGACAAUGGGCGCAAGCCUGAUCCUGCCAUACCGCGUGGGUGAAGAAGGCCUUCGGGUUGUAAAGCCCGUUUGUUGGGAAAGAAAUCCAGCUGGCUAAUACCCGGUUGGGAUGACGGUACCCAAAGAAUAAGCACCGGCUAACUUCGUGCCAGCAGCCGCCGUAA
rnacentral:rRNA from 1 species